GACAGAGGGUGCAAACGUUGUUCGGAAUUACUGGGCGUAAAGCGUGUGUAGGCAGUGAUUUAAGUCGGGCGUGAAAGCCCCGGGCUCAACCUGGGAAGUGCACUCGAAACUGGAUGACUAGAGUCUCGGAGAGGUGGGUAGAAUUCUCGGUGUAGAGGUGAAAUUCGUAGAUAUCGAGAGGAAUAUCGGCGGCGAAGGCGGCCCACUGGACGAAGACUGACGCUGAGACACGAAAGCAUGGGGAGCAAACAGG
rnacentral:rRNA from 1 species